AAGGGUAUAGCUCAAGUGGUAGAGCUCAUGCUUAGCAUGCACAAGGUCCUGGGUUCAAUCCCCAGUAUCCCCU
rnacentral:tRNA from 1 species